GACGAACGCUGGCGGCGUGCUUAACACAUGCAAGUCGAGCGGAGCGGCGAACGGGUGAGUAACGCGUGAGUAACUGCCCCCCUCUCUGGGAUAACAGUUGGAAACGGCUGCUAAUACCGGAUAGUGGGGGAUGACUCGCGUCCUAUCAGCGUGGUGGUGGGGGAGUGGCCUACCAAGGAGACUCCGAGUAGCCGGCCGGAGAGGGCGACCGGCCACAUUGGGCUGAGAUACGGACCAAACUCCUACGUGAGGCAGCAGUGGGGAAGAUUGCACAAUGGGGGAAACCCUGAUGCAGCAACGCGCGUGCGGGAUGACGGCCUGCGGGUUGUAAACCGCUUUCAGCCAUGACGCGGUAGUGGCAGAAGAAGCACCGGCUAACUACGUGCCAGCAGCCGCGGUAAUUC
rnacentral:rRNA from 1 species